UUUGGCUGAGAAAAAUUUUAGAUGAUUUGAAUGAAAAGCAAGUGGAAGCUACACCUAUUUAUUGUGAUAACAAAGCUGCAGUAGCCAUAACAAAAAAUCCUGUUUUCCAUGGUAAAACAAAGCAUAUCAAGAUCAAGUAUCAUGCCAUUAGACAAGCAGAAGAAGAAUCAGAGGUGAGUCUAAUUCACUGCAGCUCAGAUGAGCAAUUAGCUGACAUUUUGACCAAGGCAUUAAACACCAAAAGGUUUGUUCAAAUGAGAAAGAAGUUGGGAAUGAUAAGCAAGUUUGUCAAGGAGGAGUGUUGAAGCUAUGAAGCUGUGAAGUUGGCUGCUGUAAAUUCUGAAUUUUUGAAGAUGGUUCUGCUGCAGAAAGCUGAAGAUGAUAUGGAUUAUUUUUUUUUUGCAGCCUUUAAAAUGGUGACAAACUUCCUUAACCAUUUUGUAAUGUUUUUAGUUAGAAUGCAACCAAACUAAAUUAUAUUUGUUAUGUUAGGUGUACUUUGACUUAAAGUUUGGUUGGCUUGUAAGAAUUUGUGUGGAUAAGCUUAAUUUAAGCUGCUUUUGUACAGGGGUUAGGAAAGCUAUGUAAAUAUACAUGUAUGGCAAAGAAAUGAUAUGUUUUCAAGUCACAAAAACAGAAAAAUAGCAGACCUCCGUUCCAGCUCUCUGUUUUCUCCUCUGCUUUUUCAUUUUUCUUGCUUUCUUUGCUUCCAGAUCUCCAUUAAAAAAUCAACAGAAUUGACCUGUGGUGUUUAUGUGGAAGUGGCUGAAUUGAUUAUGGUUAAUUGGGUUGAGGUUAAGGGAAAAUUCAACACAGACUAUCUCACACCAAGGACUCUGUAGAGGCUUGCAUUUGUGGUCAAGUUUACCGACCAAGCUUCCGGAUGGGAAGAUCAAAAUCCAGUGAUUCUGAAUCUCGAACUCCCAAAUGGCACCCAGAUACAACGCAAAGAAAGCUUCAAGAAUAAGCCAAAAUACCAAUGGAUCGAGAUCCCAGUUGCUGAGUUUAGAGUUAAAGAAGAUGAAGAGCAAGGGGAGAUGGAGUUUUCCAUGGCUGGAACCAGUGACUUCCAUACCGAGGAAGGCGUUGUCAUCAUUGGAGUCGUAAUUGAGCCAGCCAAUUAGUAUGGCUAAUCAGCUAUAUUUGAUCUUACUCUAUCUUGAAUAAUAAUGUUUGAGUUCAAGUUGCAUGUGCUCAAGUUCAUGUUCCUUUUUUUAUCUUGAUUGUCAGAGAAUACUCAGGAUCAUUGUUAUUUCUCUCUUUAUAAAUAAAAAACCAUGUUUGUUUUUAA